rnacentral:rRNA from 1 species
UACAGAGGGUGCGAGCGUUGUUCGGAAUUACUGGGCGUAAAGCGUGCGCAGGCGGUGAUGUAAGACAGAUGUGAAAUCCCCGGGCUCAACCUGGGACCUGCAUUUGUGACUGCAUCGCUAGAGUACGGUAGAGGGGGAUGGAAUUCCGCGUGUAGCAGUGAAAUGCGUAGAUAUGCGGAGGAACACCGAUGGCGAAGGCAAUCCCCUGGACCUGUACUGACGCUCAUGCACGAAAGCGUGGGGAGCAAACGAGG